rnacentral:lncRNA from 1 species
CCUGGAACCAGGAUCAUUGACACUGAAACCAUGACAUCAUUGUUGUUUGAUGGUGAGCCUGUGCAGACUGAGGGGCGUUCAGGCUCAGACUGAGACUGCUGUAGAGGGCGUGUAGUCUCACUUAUUAUCAUCUCCCAUGCUUUGAGCGGUACGUGAAUCCUCCAUGGAGGGGAGACAGAUGAGCUCACCCAGAGAGGGAGUGACAACGGACUGGGGAUGAAGAAGCCUUUUGUCGGAUUUAAGAUGCAAACCUCGAACGCAGCACUGCGUUAGUCUCUUCACGCUAAAUGCAAUGAAUUGCGCUUCCAUCCAUUGUGUGUGGCGUGUACAUUCAUGUGCACCGGAUGGAUUCGAUCACUGGGCUUGAUUUAUUUGGAUAAAGUGUGAUCAUUCAGACCGAUAAAUAACAUAUGGCAGUGCGCGUUUCUGAGCCGCUGUGUCAGCCCAGCGCUUAUCAUGAGGCUUUCAAAGUGGAGCUACAGGUGAAGAGACCACUGAUGCCUGUCCAGCUGAGCCCAGAACAAGUGGGCCUGGAGAUGCUGUGUCUCUGUGGACACCUGGACCUUCUAAUCAGAGCACAGAUGCAGCAGUUUCAGGAGCAGUUGGAACAAGGCUGUAGCCCAGAGGAGUCGGACACUUUCCAGGUUCAAGGAUCAGAGAUUCUCGACCAGAUGCUGCAGUGCCUUGAACAUCUACCAAAGCCUAUGCCACAGCUGGAGGACUACCUGGACAUGGUGGGCUUAUCAGCAAUGUUUCCACGUGUUGAGGUUUUCCUCAUUCAGGGCAGUCCGGUCGACAUGUUGGAGAGGCCACUGAUGGAUGAUUACUACAUCCAUAUUGCCAGACUGAACCAGCUCUUGGUGCUGAGUCAGCAGCUCGAAGAGGACAUCAUGCACCUUGGAAGUCACAAGUACAUCCCCCACCAACUCUCAGUUAUAUAUCAAGUCCUCAACUCAUUCAGGGGAAUUCAGGUAUUUUCUGAAAUAAAGAAGGAUAUAGAGGCUAACUUCAAACACAUGAAGGAAACUCUGGUGACAGACGACGACGACGACGACUCCAGGCAUGAACCACGGCUGGCUGCUCAUUAUAUUAACUGGAUCUUAGAAAUAACUCGCAGCUUGGCGUCGAUGGUGCUGUCCCUGCCCGACGGGCUGACGGACGACCUUCACCAGGCCGUGACCUUCAUGUCCCAUUUCCUGUCCUGACAAAUCUAACCUCAGGAGUCAUACAAUCAACUGCUGAUUUCAGACUUUAAAUGGUGCUGCAGCGUUUGAUUCCACAGAGAAGUCAACUUAUCGUCCCCCUCAAUAGCCUUGGUAUUAUGUCAGUGAUUUGUAAAAAAAAAAAAAAAAAAAAAGGUGUCAGUGAACGAAAG